GCGUCUAUGGUCUAGGGGUAAGAUUCUUGCUUUGGGUGCAAGAGGUCCCGGGUUCGAUCCCCGGUAGACGCC